AAGAAAAAAAUGAAAUCAAAUUUGUACCAAUGCAAUGUACGUCCUCAACAACUAGGAAGUGUAGAAUGUGGUUAUUAUGUGAUGAUUUUUAUGUAUGAAAUCAUCACUCAAGGUAUUGUUCACUCAUUUAAUCAGCACUUCCAAAGUUUAGAGCCAUAUUCUAAGCAAAAGUUGAGACAUAUACACAAUUUGUGGUCUAGUUUUUUCUUAGAAUUAACAGGAUUGGAGUAGAAACUUUCUAGAUAUUUUGUAUUGGAAAUAUAAGUUUAGUUCAUGUACCGGACAUAUUUGUAUUGGUCUUUGGAGCUGCUAUUUCUUAAUUAAUAUAGGUUUUGUAAGUAAGGGAAUGUAUAUAGAUAUAAGUGUACGAGUAAAA